UGAAUACGAGAUGCUACGGCAUCGAAGCAGUCUAUGUCAUACUUCCAAGAAAAGCUUGCACUGUCAUAAACAAAUAAUGCCUGUACCAUAACCGACACAGGUGGGUAGGUAGAGUAUACUAAGGGGCGCGAGAUAACUCUCUCUAAGGAACUCGACAAAAUGACUCCGUAACUUCGGGAGAAGGAGUGCCUUAUUUUAUAAGGUUGCAAUAACAAGAUCCAAGCAACUGUUUACCAAAAACACAGGUCUCCGCUAAGUCGUAAGACGAUGUAUGGGGGCUGACGCCUGCCCAGUGCCAGAAGGUUAAAGAAGUUGGUUAGCAUUAGCGAAGCUGAUAACUGAAGCCCUGGUGAACGGCGGCCGUAACCAUAACGGUCCUAAGGUAGCGAAAUUCCUUGUCGGGUAAGUUCCGACCCGCACGAAAGGCGUAAUGAUUUGGAUACUGUCUCGGAGAGGGGCUCGGUGAAAUAGACUUGUCUGUGAAGAUGCGGACUACCUGCACCAGGACAGAAAGACCCUAUGAAGCUUUACUGUAACUUGAGAUUGAAAUUGGACUUUAUUUGCGCAGUAUAGGUGGGAGACGUUGAAAAUAUUCUUGCGGGAAUAUUGGAGUCAUCAGUGAGAUACCACUCUUAUAAUGUUAGAUUUCUAACUUUGUAUCAUUAUCUGGUCAAAGAACAGUCUCAGGCGGGCAGUUUGACUGGGGCGGUCGCCUCCCAAACGGUAACGGAGGCGCACAAAGGUUUCCUCUGAACGUGUAGAAAUCGUAUCUAGAGUGUAAAGGCAUAAGGAAGCUUGACUGUGAGACCUACAAGUCGAGCAGGGACGAAAGUCGGUCUUAGUGAUCUGACGGUGCUGAGUGGAAAGGCCGUCACUCAACGGAUAAAAGUUACUCUAGGGAUAACAGGCUGAUCUCCCCCAAGAGUUCACAUCGACGGGGAGGUUUGGCACCUCGAUGUCGGCUCAUCGCAUCCUGGGGCGGUAGUACGUCCCAAGGGUUGGGCUGUUCGCCCAUGAAAGCGGUACGCGAGCUGGGUUCAGAACGUCGUGAGACAGUUCUGUCCAUAUCCGGUGUAGGCGUUAGAAUAUUGAGAGGAGCCUUCUUUAGUACGAGAGGACCGAGAAGGACAUACCUCUGGUGUACCAGUUAUCGUGCCAACGGUAAACGCUGGGUAGCUAUGUAUGGAGAGGAUAACCGCUGAAAGCAUCUAAGUGGGAAGCCCACCUCAAGAUAAG
rnacentral:rRNA from 1 species